AUAUAGAUUUGUAAAAAAUUUUUAGAUGCAAUCCUAGUUAUCCGCAAAGAAUAGAUUUCCUUCCCUUCACAGGGGACCUUCUAGUCCCUCUUUGUUCCCUAGAUCAGAGGCUAUGGCUGAUGCAGCUAAGGCCGAUGUCAGCUAAGGCUAUUAUGGUGUAGUCUAAAGAAUCUAAACUGAUGGUCGGUGAUGACUACCGGCGUCGGAAAAUCAAAAAGAGGGGGGGC
rnacentral:lncRNA from 1 species